rnacentral:tRNA from 1 species
AAAAUCCGUUGGCUUUAUUGACCGUGAGGGUUCAAGUCCCUUUACCCCCA